AAUUUAAAAAUGGACCUAAAAGCACUAAUAGUCAUACAAAUGCCUAAGCAAAAAAGGAGUUACCUUAAGCAGAAUCUAUACUGUAUGGCCCAUGGGAAUG